GUAUUUUUAGUAUAAUAAGUAUGUUAGAUUUAGGUUCUGUUGGUAAUAAAAAUAUA
rnacentral:tRNA from 1 species